rnacentral:rRNA from 1 species
GACGAACGCUGGCGGCGUGCUUAACACAUGCAAGUCGAACGGAAAGGCCCUGCUUUUGUGGGGUGCUCGAGUGGCGAACGGGUGAGUAACACGUGAGUAACCUGCCCUUGACUUUGGGAUAACUUCAGGAAACUGGGGCUAAUACCGGAUAGGAGCUCCUGCUGCACGGUGGGGGUUGGAAAGUUUCGGCGGUUGGGGAUGGACUCGCGGCUUAUCAGCUUGUUGGUGGGGUAGUGGCUUACCAAGGCUUUGACGGGUAGCCGGCCUGAGAGGGUGACCGGCCACAUUGGGACUGAGGUACGGACCAGACUCCUACGGGAGGCAGCAGUGGGGAAUAUUGCACAAUGGGCGGAAGCCUGAUGCAGCAGCGCCGCGUGCGGGAUGACGGCCUUCGGGUUGUAAACCGCUUUCGCCUGUGACGAAGCGUGAGUGACGGUAAUGGGUAAAGAAGCACCGGCUAACUACGUG